AACUUCCCACAUAACUCAUCCAUUUGACCAGUUUCCUAUCCAAUACUGCUGUAAUACCAUCACCAGAGCAGAUAAAGGAACAAUCCCAUGUGGACGGACCAAACACCCAGGGUUUAUCCUGACCCAUCUGCAUACACACAUUAAAUCACAAGAGAAGACAUUCAAAUGCUUUAAUUCAGAUUUGAACUUACAACCAUAAUCUUAUAGAGAACUGGGGAACAAAAAAAAAAAGUGGGUCAUAUAAUACGGUCUGGGGGGGGGAAACCUGAACUUCAAAAAAAAAAGAACCAUGCUGAAGGUCCUCAAAUCUAGGCAUUACCUGUGAAAAAAACUGAUUUACCAAACAGCUAAGUAGGCAGAAAAGGUUUCCCAGCUUCUAAUGGCUGAGGCCCUAAUACAGACAAAAUUUCACCAUGUUGGACAUAGUUAAAUAUUCAGUAGGUGCCCAUGCAGGUCCUCUUCUUUCCUGGGGAAAAAAAUAAACAAACAUCAGGUUCCUGGAGGUUGCAUACCGAAAACCUUACCAUCUUAAAUUCUUGUUUCCUGCAUGGUUUGUCUCCUCAGUCAUUGUCCACAGGACUCUGAGAAGUCGUAGGAAUAUGCAGGCGCAGACUUGGAAGCCCAGCUUCAUCUCCAACGUUGUGGAAAGGGACUGUACCAUCACCGGGCAAUGCCCUAAGCUCCCACGCGCCACUAGGACAGAGCCCGGGGAGAGUGACCUCCCGGGAUAUCCACGUUGGAACGUCUGGUUAGCACCCAAGCGUUUCGUCAACCUCAACACCCAACUACACCCCAGUAUCUCAUCACUAAGACAGAUUGAACAGAAAGCACAGGACAAGCACUAAGCCAGCUUCACAGUGGAACAUACCUCCAUAAACAAGGUGUCUGGAAUCACGGAUCGGUUCUGCAAUAGAAGGCAUUUAUCAUCAUCGUCCACGGGACUCUGAGAAGUCGUAGGAAUAUGCAGGCGCAGACUCGGAAGCCCAGCUUCAUCUCCGACGUUGUGGAAAGGGACUGUACAUCACCGGGCGAUGCCCUAAGCUCCCAUGCGCCACUAGGACAGAGCCCGGGGAGAGUGACCUCCCGGGAUAUCCACGUCGGAUAGUCAUGGUAAAGUCUCUCUUUUGACAAAAUGUCCCAGGGUCCUUUGCUAGACCUCCAGCUCGGAAAACCCGCCUGCUUCCAGCGUGCUAGGGCUACAAAUCUCAGCCACCUUCAGACCUCCACGAAGCAAACAGAACCCAAGUAGCCGGACAUCUACAUGAAAAACUGCCCUGUGAAUAAUGGCAGAUCAACGAACAAAAAGCGGCAGAAAUUCUCUUACAAGGUGAAGAGAAAGGAUAGCUGGGAAGCGAGGAGAACUGAUGAAGUUAAAAAUCGAGCGCUGGGAGGCGGCUUACACUCCAGAUCACAAGGCAGGAACCAAAGACCCUGUCCUCUUAAGGAAAAUGAGCAUUAAAGUUAAGUAGACC
rnacentral:lncRNA from 1 species